rnacentral:rRNA from 1 species
UACGGAAGGCAGCAGGGGGGAAUAUUGCACAAUGGGCGCAAGCCUGAUGCAGCCAUGCCGCGUGUAUGAAGAAGGCCUUCGGGUUGUAAAGUACUUUCAGUCGUGAGGAAGGUGUUAAGGUUAAUAACCUUAGCAAUUGACGUUAGCGACAGAAGAAGCACCGGCUAACUCCGUGCCAGCAGCCGCGGUAAUACGGAGGGUGCGAGCGUUAAUCGGAAUUACUGGGCGUAAAGGGCACGCAGGCGGUUAAUUAAGUUGGAUGUGAAAUCCCCGGGCUUAACCUGGGAAUGGCAUUCAAGACUGGUUAGCUAGAGUCUUGUAGAGGGGGUAGAAUUCCAUGUGUAGCGGUGAAAUGCGUAGAGAUGUGGAGGAAUACCGGUGGCGAAGGCGGCCCCUGGACAAAGACUGACGCUCAUGUGCGAAAGCGUGGGGAGCAAACAGGGAUUAGAUACCCGU